UAAGCAUUAAGUUAAUUAAACUAAUAGCCUUCAAAGCUUUAAAUGGUGAGAGUCAUGCUUAG
rnacentral:tRNA from 1 species